GGCGAGGUUGCUUCGGUAACUGAGCUAGCGGCGGACGGGUGAGUAAUGCUUAGGAAUCUGCCUAUUAGUGGGGGACAACAUUCCGAAAGGGAUGCUAAUACCGCAUACGUCCUACGGGAGAAAGCAGGGGCUCUUUAUGACCUUGCGCUAAUAGAUGAGCCUAAGUCGGAUUAGCUAGUUGGUGGGGUAAAGGCCUACCAAGGCGACGAUCUGUAGCGGGUCUGAGAGGAUGAUCCGCCACACUGGGACUGAGACACGGCCCAGACUCCUACGGGAGGCAGCAGUGGGGAAUAUUGGACAAUGGGGGGAACCCUGAUCCAGCCAUGCCGCGUGUGUGAAGAAGGCCUUUUGGUUGUAAAGCACUUUAAGUGGGGAGGAGGCUUACCUGGUUAAUACCUGGGCUAAGUGGACGUUACCCACAGAAUAAGCACCGGCUAACUCUGUGCCAGCAGCCGCGGUAAUACAGAGGGUGCGAGCGUUAAUCGGAUUUACUGGGCGUAAAGCGCGCGUAGGUGGUUAAUUAAGUCAAAUGUGAAAUCCCCGAGCUUAACUUGGGAAUUGCAUUCGAUACUGGUUAGCUAG
rnacentral:rRNA from 1 species